ACUAAAAGUGCUUAAAUACUGAACAGGAAGGAGAGGUAACUGUAAGAAUCGCCCUGGGAAUGCCUAAUCCAAAGAUAAAGUCGCCAGGACUUCACUUUGUGCUACUGCAAGUGCAUCAAAACCAAUAUUGUGUCUUUAGCAUUCGAAUCCAUGAACUUCUGAAAGAGAAACCAAAAAGCCGUGUCAGGUAUGGUUGGAGCCCGCAUUUUCAUUUGGGAGCAGAAGCAUGUCACAUAGUCUUCUAAAAAGAGAAAUUUUGCUUAAAAAUGACACAACAAAAUAAAAUGCUGACUAAGUCAUGGUAAGAAGUAGUCUUUGAAUUUGAAUAAA
rnacentral:lncRNA from 1 species